rnacentral:lncRNA from 10 species
UCCUGCUUCAUACCAAUCCUUCUAACAUCAUCAUCAAACAAAAUGCAGUGAGGCAUAAACUGUUGGGACAUACCGCUCGGGGCCACUGCUGUCUGGGACUGAAACACUGGCAUUGUACUGCAUUGGUCAUUGGCGUUCGUGGAUGUUGGCAUUGGGCAUGGGCAUUCAAUCAGAAGUUGUCAAGUAUGGUACCCGUUUGGCAACGAGCACAUUUUUGGGCAUAGCCAACCAGGGUUUUCACAUGGGCGUUCAGGGGCGGAUGGGCCAACGUCAUGGUGGGCAACGCAGGGGUAAGUCGAUCCAGUACAUGGGCAACGGAGAUAUAUGGCCAAAAAAACAAGGAGAGGGAAAAGGGGGAAAAGCAAUAAAUUUUAAUUUAAUACAAACUAU